CCUAAAACCCUAAAAACCCUAGAACCUAACAAGCAUCAACAAUCAACACUUCUUGCAGCUCAAGUGCUAGAAUUACAACACCCACACACAAAAUUCUCAAAAAAUAAAUUCUUUAUGUUGAAAAUGAACUCAACCCAGUUAGUAAAGCUCCCAAAAAAAAAGGGAAAACCAAGAUUUUGCUUUGAAACUUCAAAGAUCAGAAACAAAAUACAGAUUACAACAGUUGUGGGUGAGUUCUGUGCCUUAAAUCUCCGCCAUUGCUGAGAAUGCACGGAGUUUCAACGGUGACUUUUUCCUGCUAAUGAAAAUUUUCAUGGAGCAACAAAAAAAAUUACAGGGAAAAAUGCCAAAAAAAAAAAAUUGUGAUUGCAGAAUUUCU
rnacentral:misc_RNA from 1 species